rnacentral:rRNA from 1 species
GACGAACGCUGGCGGCGUGCUUAACACAUGCAAGUCGAACGGAAAGGCCCUGCUUUUGUGGGGUGCUCGAGUGGCGAACGGGUGAGUAACACGUGAGUAACCUGCCCUUGACUUUGGGAUAACUUCAGGAAACUGGGGCUAAUACCGGAUAGGAGCUCCUGCUGCAUGGUGGGGGUUGGAAAGUUUCGGCGGUUGGGGAUGGACUCGCGGCUUAUCAGCUUGUUGGUGGGGUAGUGGCUUACCAAGGCUUUGACGGGUAGCCGGCCUGAGAGGGUGACCGGCCACAUUGGGACUGAGAUACGGCCCAGACUCCUACGGGAGGCAACAGUGGGGAAUAUUGCACAAUGGGCGGAAGCCUGAUGCAGCAACGCCGCGUGCGGGAUGACGGCCUUCGGGUUGUAAACCGCUUUCGCCUGUGACGAAGCGUGAGUGACGGUAAUGGGGAAAGAAGCACCGGCUAACUACGU